rnacentral:rRNA from 1 species
AUUGAACGCUGGCGGCCGGCCUAACACAUGCAAGUCGAACGAGUGGCGGACGGGUGAGUAAUGUCUGGGAAACUGCCUGCUGGCGGGGGAUAACUACUGGAAACGGUAGCUAAUACCGCAUACCAUCAGAUGUGCCCAGAGGGGAUUAGCUAGUUGGUGGGGUAACGGCUCACCAAGGCGACGAUCCCUAGCUGGUCUGAGAGGAUGACAAGCAAAACUGGAACAGAGACACGGUCCAGACUCCUACGGGAGGCAGCAGUGGGGAAUAUUGCACAAUGGGGGCAAGCCUGAUACAGCCAUGCCGCGUGUAUGGAGAAGGCCUUCGGGUUGUAAAGUACUUUCAGCGGGGAGGAGUUACCCGCAGAAGAAGCACCGGCUAACUCCGUGCCAGCAGCCGCGGUAAUAC